GCGGCUGGGGCCGGGCGGCGCGUGCGCAGUGCGGAGCGGCUGGUGGCAAUGUCUCCUUGGGCCAGGCUCCUCUCCAGCACCUCCAGGGUCAGCCUGCUGCUGCUGCUGGGCUCUGUGCUCCUCUCCUGCUCCAGCCUGGGACAGAGAGUGCCUGAGUUUGCCCUUACAAAAAUAGAAGAGAGCGACAUAAAAGAUGACAGUGGGAAGGAGCUGGGGACAGAGGAUGACGCUGAUCCUGAAGACCUGGAAGUGUUUUACCCCACGGAUCAGUGGCAAACCCUGCA